rnacentral:snoRNA from 1 species
UUCCACAGCUACUGGCCUGAAACUGCUCUGUACUGUAGCAGUUGCAGUAUUCCCACUGUGGAAGAUCAGCAGUUACACUGUAUGGUGCUUCUUUUCUCAAACAAGAGAAGACAACUGCUGUGUAACGGACAUAA